CCUACGGGUGGCAGCAGUGAGGAAUAGUGGUCAAUGGGCGCGAGCCUGAACCAGCCAAGUCGCGUGAGGGAAGACGGUCCUAUGGAUUGUAAACCUCUUUUGUCGGGGAGCAAAAGACGCCACGCGUGGCGUUCCGAGAGUACCCGAAGAAAAAGCAUCGGCUAACUCCGUGCCAGCAGCCGCGGUAAGACGGAGGAGGCGAGCGUUAUCCGGUUUUAGUGGGUUUAAAGGGUGCGCAGGCGGAAGAUCAAGUCAGCGGUAACAUUGAGAGGCUCAACCUCUUCGAGCCGUUGAAACUGGUUUUCUUUAGUGAGUUAGAAGUAUGCGUAAUGCGUGGUGUAGCGGUGAAAUGCAUAGCUAUCACGCAGCACUCCGAUUGCGAAGGCAGCAUACCGGCGCUCACCUGACGCUCAUGCACGAACGUGUGGGUAUCGAACCGGAUUCGAUACCCUGGUAGUC
rnacentral:rRNA from 1 species